rnacentral:tRNA from 1 species
GGCGGAUGUUGCCAAGUGGAUUAAGGCAGU